rnacentral:misc_RNA from 1 species
GAUGAAGAACGCAGCGAAAUGCGAUAAGUAAUGUGAAUUGCAGAAUUCAGUGAAUCAUCGAAUCUUUGAACGCACAUUGCGCCCUCUGGUAUUCCGGGGGGCAUGCCUGUUCGAGCGUCAUUAUAACCACUCAAGCUCUCGCUUGGUAUUGGGGUUCGCGGUUUCGCGGCCCCUAAAAUCAGUGGCGGUGCCUGUCGGCUCUACGCGUAGUAAUACUUCUCGCGAUUGAGUUCGAUAGGUCUACUUGCCAGUAACCCCCAAUUUUUACAGGUUGACCUCGGAUCAGGUAGGGAUACCCGCUGAACUUAAGCAUAUCAAUAAGCGAAGGA